CAGCACCAUUCCACAUCACUCAAACACAUGGCUAUGGUCUCUGGGUAUGGAUACCAGAGAAACAGGAUAAAACAUGGUUCAUUAUACAGGAAGCCAAUAGAGCCAUUGGUUUCAAAGGAGAAGCUACAGUGACUAAUAUGUCCUUCCUGAGCUCAAGUGCCACUGCUGAGCUCAGCAUCAGGUACACAAAGUUUUGAUGACUCUUUUGGAUCUGCACUGCCUCACCUUUAUCUAUACUGAAACUUACCUGCCACUUUUCUGUUCAUUUGUUUGCUCGAGGUCCAACUGACUUGCAGCCAAGUUUCAUUUCAAAAGCACUUGUAAAGCUGGCCAUUUCCCUCACAGCUUCUUUCUUGUCUGUAUUUUUUUUUUCUGGUUUGUUUGUUUGUUUGAUUUUCUCCAAUGCUACUGCUGCCUUUCCCCUCUCUGCUGAACAAAGGGAAUGCACUUACUUUCAUUUUCUUUUCUCCCUUUUCCUAUCUCAGGGUCUUGAUAAAACCUUGUUACAACUAUUCCUGAACCAAGCUGGUGGAACUGGAAGAGCACAUGGUUAACUCCUGCUGGAAUAAUCUCUGCUGACAGCCUCUGAGAAAGCCUCAGAAGUGAGAUGUUUCCCAUCAUGUUGCAGCAGUACCUUUGUG
rnacentral:lncRNA from 1 species